rnacentral:rRNA from 1 species
GACGAACGCUGGCGGCGUGCCUAAUACAUGCAAGUCGAACGCAGUGGGGACGGGUGAGUAACACGUGGGUAACCUCCCAUCAGAGGGGAUAACACUUGGAAACAGGUGCUAAACCGAUACUGAUGGAUGAACCCGCGGUGCGUUAGUUGGUUGGUGGGGUAACGGCUCACCAAGGCCACGAUGCAUAGCCGACCUGAGAGGUGGAUCGGCCACACUGGGACUGAGAAACGGCCCAGACUCCUCCGUGAGGCAGGAGAAGGGAAUCUUCGGCAAGGGACGAAAGUCUGAACGAGCAACUCCGCGUGAGUGAAGAAGGUUUUCGGAUCGUAAAACUCUGUGGUUAGAGAAGCGGUAUCUAACCAGAAAGCCACGGCUAACUACGUGCCAGCAGCCGCGGUAAUUC